CGGGAACAGACGGCCCCGUAACACGGGCCGCCCCCGCCAGAGGACCCCCUAACUCUGUUUCUAUAAUGUUUCUUCUGAGUAAACAAGCAAAUAAAUUAAAACUUUCAACAACGGAUCUCUUGGCUCUGGCAUCGAUGAAGAACGCAGCGAAAUGCGAUAAGUAAUGUGAAUUGCAGAAUUCAGUGAAUCAUCGAAUCUUUGAACGCACAUUGCGCCCGCCAGUAUUCUGGCGGGCAUGCCUGUUCGAGCGUCAUUACAACCCUCAGGCCCCCGGGCCUGGCGUUGGGGAUCGGCGGAAGCCCCCUGCGGGCACAACGCCGUCCCCCAAAUACAGUGGCGGUCCCGCCGCAGCUUCCAUUGCGUAGUAGCUAACACCUCGCAACUGGAGAGCGGCGCGGCCACGCCGUAAAACACCCAACUUCUGAAUGUUGACCUCGAAUCAGGUAGGAAUACCCGCUGAACUUAAG
rnacentral:rRNA from 1 species